UGGGGAUUUAAUGUUAGCAUUUUAAUAUUAUGCUGUACUUUUGUACCUAUACCUUUUCGCUGUGUUUUCAUCCGAUCAUGCAAAAUCUAAGAAGAUGCUGUUCCACAGAAGUGAGUUGAGCUUAUGAUAGCUGAAAUGCAGGAAGCAUUCUCUAUAAGUCACAGUCGGAUUGUGAAGUUUCAACAACAUAUAAAGAUGGAGGAGAUUGAAUCAUCUCUAUGGUUGUCAUGCUCUCGAUUCAAGAUCAUGAUCCAGAAAUUAUGGCAAUUAUCGUAUAUUCA
rnacentral:lncRNA from 1 species